rnacentral:lncRNA from 1 species
AGCGCUUCAUCUGCCAAUUCUCUCUUUUGAAGUUGGUGGGAGAUCUGAAGAGGAGUGAAGCAAAAUGAAAAUGGAACAGACAGUGUCUAAUGCCCUUGAUGAUAAUUGCCAAUUUGCCUACACCUCCCUAGAGGACAUUCUUCCAAUCACUCUAGUAGGAGGUUUUUGAGCCAUUCGAUCUGAUGGACAAUUACCAGCCUACAAUGAGUUGGGCCUCCUUGCCAGUUCAUGGAUCUGAAGCUCUCAGGACCCACUGUCAAU